UUUUCAACUCUUUUUCGUCAAGGAUUCUUUCCCCCUUUCUACCCUUUUUUUCUUGGUUUGUUAAGCAGGAAAUAUUUUAGUAUUUAUAGAUCCCAAAUGAUUUAAAAAAUUAGAACAAAAAAUUAAAUCAUCGAGAUUUUAAGGUAUUGGCGGUACCACCGCUUAACACAGGCUCAGAGAUUGUGUCUUAGAGACUGAGCCACUAUUGGUUCCACCACUCG
rnacentral:lncRNA from 1 species